rnacentral:rRNA from 1 species
UGUUGCAGUUAAAAAGCUCGUAGUCGAACCUUGGGUCUGGCUGGCCGGUCCGCCUCACCGCGAGUACUGGUCCGGCUGGACCUUUCCUUCUGGGGAACCUCAUGGCCUUCACUGGCUGUGGGGGGAACCAGGACUUUUACUGUGAAAAAAUUAGAGUGUUCAAAGCAGGCCUUUGCUCGAAUACAUUAGCAUGGAAUAAUAGAAUAGGACGUGUGGUUCUAUUUUGUUGGUUUCUAGGACCGCCGUAAUGAUUAAUAGGGAUAGUCGGGGGCGUCAGUAUUCAGCUGUCAGAGGUGAAAUUCUUGGAUUUGCUGAAGACUAACUACUGCGAAAGCAUUCGCCAAGGAUGUUUUCAUUAAUCAGGGAACGAAAGUUAGGGGAUCGAAGACGAUCAGAUACCGUCGUAGUCUUAACCAUAAACUAUGCCGACUAGGGAUCGGACGGGAUUCUAUAAUGACCCGUUCGGCACCUUACGAGAAAUCAAAGUUUUUGGGUUUCUGGGGGGAG